AGGAUAAUAGUUAAAAUAAAUAACAUUUAAUUUGCUUUUAAAAAUUAUUAAAAAAAAAUUUAUCUUA
rnacentral:tRNA from 1 species